rnacentral:rRNA from 1 species
UACGUAGGGGGCUAGCGUUGUCCGGAAUCAUUGGGCGUAAAGGGCGCGUAGGCGGCUUGGUAAGUGCGCUGUGAAAGUCGGGGGCUCAACCCUCGAAUGCCGGUGGAUACUGUCGGGCUAGAGUGCGGAAGAGGCGAGUGGAAUUCCUGGUGUAGCGGUGAAAUGCGCAGAUAUCAGGAGGAACACCUAUUGCGAAGGCAGCUCGCUGGGACGUAACUGACGCUGAGACGCGAAAGCGUGGGGAGCGAACAGG